AUGAACGCUGGCGGCGUGCCUAAUACAUGCAAGUCGAGCGAACAGACGAGGAGCUUGCUCCUCUGACGUUAGCGGCGGACGGGUGAGUAACACGUGGAUAACCUACCUAUAAGACUGGGAUAACUUCGGGAAACCGGAGCUAAUACCGGAUAAUAUAUUGAACCGCAUGGUUCAAUAGUGAAAGACGGUUUUGCUGUCACUUAUAGAUGGAUCCGCGCCGCAUUAGCUAGUUGGUAAGGUAACGGCUUACCAAGGCAACGAUGCGUAGCCGACCUGAGAGGGUGAUCGGCCAUACUGGAACUGAGACACGGUCCAGACUCCUACGGGAGGCAGCAGUAGGGAAUCUUCCGCAAUGGGCGAAAGCCUGACGGAGCGACGCCGCGUGAGUGAUGAAGGUCUUCGGAUCGUAAAACUCUGUUAUUAGGGAAGAACAAAUGUGUAAGUAACUAUGCACGUCUUGACGGUACCUAAUCAGAAAGCCACGGCUAACUACGU
rnacentral:rRNA from 1 species